GCAACACCUCCGGAGGCCUAUGAGGACCCAGGCCCGGGGUGAGCAGCGCACCUGACCCUCUGCUCAGGUCCCAGGACAGGUGCCUCCUCGCAGAAGACCCAAGGGGCCGUGAGGAGGCCGACGGAGCUGUUCCCGAGGCGGGUGCUUCCUCUACUCCCCCAGGAGGGGGAUCCCGGAGUCUCAGGCUUUGGGCAGUAACCCGCAGCAUCACCUACGUGAAGCCCACGGAACAACGGAGAGUUCACUUAUGUUCAAUGAGGCUUAUGCAACAUAUGACUAAAAAAAAAUUGGGAAAAAAAAAAACCCACCCAAGAAUUUGCAAGUUUAUCUGCAGGACCUUUUUGAACAAGUGCAUCGCUUGUAACAAACAUUAUCAUCCAAAGCAUCACGUGCAUCUUCUGGAACAUGAAGUAGAAUUAAAUGGCUGGCAGUCUCUGGGGCGGAGUGAAACUUCUCGUCUGACGUUAUGAGCUGCCUGUAGCUCAUCGGAGAACCAGCCACUCACUAGCUAGAGUAACUGUUUUGAAGACUAAUGUGAAAAGGUAUUUAAUAAAGUAUAAAUGUCGGGAUUUUAGCAUUAGCACAUUAAUAUAUUCUCUUCAUUUCAUAAAAUACCGUUUGAAAAAGUAUAGAAACCUGUUAAAGUACCUCGGGUAGAUCCCCAUGUAAGGCAUCAUUAAAUAAUUAAUCAAGUUCCUGACCUCAUGCUACGCGCUGUAGUUAGGACGCAGUGUCCAGGGGGUUAAGAGGCAUGCAUUUUUUUUUUUUUUGCUUUUAAAUUUAAAGAUCAUUAAUUAGAAAACAUGAAAGUCUUAAAGUCUCAAAUUCCUAUGUGCCUAGUGAAAUACUGAGAAGACCUUGCCAGUACCUCAUCUCGGAAAACCAGAUCAGCACCAAAUACAUUAAUUCAAAUCUAAACAUACAAAAAAAAAAAAAAGUACCAUCCAGAAGUAUUUGCUACAGCUGCACUUAAACAUUAGGGGACCCAAGGCCAUGGUGCAGGUCUGUAACGUCGUGGGGUAUUGUGCUGAGGUGGUUUUCCUGCUGGUCUCACUUAUAUGAUAAUUUUUAUUCAUCUAAAUAUUACUUCCAAUUGGAGACUGCUUCUUUAAUUAAGUAGAACAUGUAGCAAAUAAAUGAUUUUGAACAGUACUCAGCAACUGUACAAUUUCUAAGGGAAAUGCUUCAGCUAUGGGUUGGGAAUUGGGAGGAAUAAAAAUUCUCAGAAUUACUCUAAGACAAACUAAGAGAUCUAAAGAAUUGGGGUAAAAGAAAAAUGAAAAGUAUUAAGGAAAAAUCGCCUUUAGAAAGGUUGCCUCAUUUUCUAUGAAUUGUGUCUUAUUAUUAUUAUUUUUAACCCUUUGUCUUGGGAGCAAGGAUCU
rnacentral:lncRNA from 1 species